UACGUAGGGCGCAAGCGUUAUCCGGAAUUAUUGGGCGUAAAGAGCUCGUAGGCGGUUUGUCGCGUCUGCCGUGAAAGUCCGGGGCUCAACUCCGGAUCUGCGGUGGGUACGGGCAGACUAGAGUGAUGUAGGGGAGACUGGAAUUCCUGGUGUAGCGGUGAAAUGCGCAGAUAUCAGGAGGAACACCGAUGGCGAAGGCAGGUCUCUGGGCUGUAACUGACGCUGAGGAGCGAAAGCGUGGGGAGCGAACAGG
rnacentral:rRNA from 1 species